UGCACGUGAUGUGUAGAAGGACUCCUCUCAAAAAUUCAAACUGCGUGGGCCCUCCUCAUUUUCUGACUCCUCCUUAGCCUUUAUCAUUUUCUACCAUUCUGUGGAAAAGACCAGUAGAAAAGAUGAAGUUAGUCUGGCUCAUCUGCACAGUGGCUGUUGCCAUCUCUGUAUGUUUGGCUUUCAACAUUGAUACGACAGCCACCCGCAUCUUUACUACAGAACAAAAAGAUUUCUUCCAAAACAAGGUGCUUCAGUUACUGUCUGACAAGAACAAUGGGACACUUGUCACUGCACCAGAGCAGCUAGGACCUGAAGAGACAUGCACAUCUGAUCUGAACCUGACCCACCGCUGCAUCAUUGUUUCAGAAAUUUGGCCCGAAUACAUGCAGGUACCCAUCAGGCAAUUUGGACUGUCGAUAUCUGAGGACGCCAUGCGCUCUCAAAUCACUGUCUGCAGCCCAAGUGCAGUGCAUCCACACAGUGGGAACUCGUCUCUGAACAAAGUGUGUUACAAGAUGAAACUCGACCGUGGACCGUCCACCCAAGAACAAACAAAUAAGUCUGUGGAAGUAGUUUUUUUAUUUGAUGGAUCAGCAAGUAUGACUGAAGCAGAAUUCAACAAAAAUAAAGACUUCAUUGUGGAGAUAAUGGAGAGCCAUAGGGACACACCAGUAACGUUCGCAGCAGUUCAGUUCUCCAGAACAGUCCACAAAGUGUUUGACUUCAACGACUAUGCAGCUGGACGCGCUCUCGAUAAACUUAUGAAAGAAAAACAUUUAAAAAGUCUCACCAACACACACAGAGCCCUCGAAUUUGUGCUAGAUGAAAUCUUUGAUAACCCAGCUGCAGGUGCCUCUCCUGAUGUUACCAAAGUUCUGAUUCUCAUCACAGACGGAGAUCCCUCUGAUACAGACAGGAAUGGGAUCAUUAAAAGAUACGACGAUAAAAAUAUAAUUCGCCUUGUCGUCGGGGUCAAAGAUGCUAAGCUGGAUAAAUUCAGGCCCUUUGCUUCAGAACCAAAACAUAGAAAUGCCUUUAAAAUUAAGAACUAUGAUGGACUCAUAGAUCUGGCGGAGAUUUUUCUGGAAAGGAUAUUUACUUUGCAAGGUUGCACAGCUCCUCUGGCAGAAUUCAGUGGAUUCAGUGCUGUUUUCAAAAAGGUUUGCAGCACAACUGCAGUCAGCAACUGUUCCGACAACUCGUACCUGAAUAUUGUCUGUCACCAGAUCCCAAAUCUUCAACAAACCUCUUCUUCUGUUGGUGAAGAACGAACAAAUAAGUCUGUGGAAGUCGUUUUUUUAUUUGAUGGAUCAGCGAGUAUGACCGAAAGAGAAUUCAACAAAAUAAAGACUUCAUUGUGCACAUAACUGACUUACUUAUGAUGUUGUCAGUGAAGUUUGCAGCAGUUCAGUUCUCCAACACAGUCCACAAAGUGUUUGACUUCAACGACUAUGCAGCUGGACGUGCUCUCGAUAAACUUGCAAAUGAAAAACAUUUAAAAAGUCUCACCAUGACACACAGAGCCCUCGAAUUUGUGCUGGAUGAAAUCUUUGAUAACCCAGCUGCAGGUGCCUCUCCUGAUGUUACCAAAGUUCUGGUUCUAUUCACAGACGGAGAUCCCUCUGAUACAGACAGGAAUGGGAUCAUUAAAAGAUACGAUGAUAAAAAUAUAAUUCGCCUUGUCGUCGGGGUCAAAGAUGCUAAGCUGGAUAAAUUCAGGCCCUUUGCUUCAGAACCAAAACAUAGAAAUGCCUUUAAAAUUAAGAACUAUGAUGGACUCAUAGAUCUGGCGGAGAUUUUUCUGGAAAGGAUAUUUACUUUGCAAGGUUGCACAGCUCCUCUGGCAGAAUUCAGUGGAUUCAGUGCUGUUUUCAAAAAGGAUAGCCUGAUCGUGGGUUCUGUGGGAUCGAACAGCUGGCGUAGUUUUCUCCGUAGACCUCAAGAAUGAAUGCAGGGUUACCUGGG